AGCUGGCUCCCUGCACGCCGCACAGCGACCGCCAGUGUGGUCCUCCCACCGGCACCUUCUCCGGCUCCUCUAACAAGUUGCUCACGUACAUCAUGGUGCCGGUAGCUGUGGUGGGAGUUCUGGCCCUGCUUGUGUUCUGCCUCUGGAAGCGCUACUGUUGCUGUUCCCCAGGAGACAGGAGAGACCUGGGCAGGAAGUCCUACAACGUGGUGG